CUUGGGUAACUGAUUAAGCGUUAUAAUGGCUCUUUUAUUUUCCAGUUUCUUUUCAUCUUUUUUGUUGUUUUUUUUUUGGUAUCGGGGAUCGAACCCAGUUCCUUGUGCUUGCAAAGCCAGCGGCGGAACCACUGAGCUAAAUCCCCGGCCCAAAGCAUUGUAGUUUUUUCAUCUUUUUUUUUUCCAGCUUCUUGACAAUGCUUCAGAAAAUCUUGGGUGUCAAAUUCCAACCAGCUCACUCUUAAUGAAAGUUAUAAUUUACACGGUUCAGUUUGAACUCCAAAAUUAACUUUUCUAGUAGGGAGAGGUGUUCUGUGAUUCUCAGCAUUCACACUGCAAAAAGGGGAGAAAAGGGAACAAAGAGCACUGCCAGCUGUCAUGAAAACAAUGGAAAGUUGCCUAUAUUCCAUUGGCCAGAUUGUAAUCACAGAGUCAAGUACAGGGACUAUUGGGUAAUGUAGCCUUUGUUCUGUACCUAUAGAACAAUCAGGGGCUCUAGUACAAGUUAAGAAGAGAUGUCUGAUAAUCAGCAAUUUUGGCCAUUGUCAUCCACAGCAGGCCCUCUCCAACUCCAGCCCAAAUCUGAAACUCCAGUGCGUAAUUAACAUAGUAAUGCCAGCCCUGGCCAGGAACCCUCCACUCCACUUUUCAGUCAGCGGUCAGAGAGUUAGUGGGCUAAACCUUUCGCUGCUCCUUUGCAACACACUAGGCUGAGGACUACUAGUGGAAGAAAUACUUUGCUUCCGGUUCUGUUCCAAAGAAGGUAUUUGUGGGACUUGAGGGCGGAGUUGGGGGAUGCCCCGGAAGUAUUUCCUUGUGGUCUCACAUCGGAAAAAUGGCGGCGGUACGAGUUGGCGGCUCGCUGCAGUGCAGCCAGCUGCGGGAGGCGCCGCGGGAGUCGCCCCCUGAGCCCCGCAGUGGGUUCCACCGCUUGUCGGCCAGGCUCCGCGCCCUGCGCCUGGAGGACAGCAGCUCCGCCCGCACUGAGAUCCACCUCCUCUUCGACCAGCUCAUCUCCGAGAACUACCGCGAGGGCGGCGGCGUGGCCGCGGAGGAUGUCAGUGCUCUUCUUGUCCAAGCUUGCCGACUGGUGCCUCCUAAUCAGAAUCAUCUUGUCAGCAAAGUGUCUAAGCUGAUCCACCAUUUACUUAACAGAUUACAGGUAAUACAUAUAACUUUAGGAUUCAGAUCAUGAACUUUGAGAAUAAAUAUAUGCCUUUAAACCGCAUCUGUGGUAGAUGUCAUAAGCUGGUCUUUUGAGAUGGUAGGAAAAGGUAACACCUUAACAAAAAUGAUAUUAAAUAUAAUUGACAUUAUUCUGGAUAAUUCUAGAAAUUUGUCUAUUAGAAGUGUUUCUUUCUGUUUGAUUGAAUAAACCAAUGUUUAUUCAGAUUCCCUAGUCCUAGAUUUUUUCACUGAAGCUAAAGUUGACCCAGAUAUAUCUCAAUAAGUUGAAAUGAUUCCCUACUUCUUUCCUACUAAUAUGUUUCCCCUUUUCUGAAGCUGUCAUUUUUGUCAUCUUCUUCUGAUGUAUGCAAACCUAAGAAGAAGGCUGAAGGGCAAGGGGACACUAGGGUAAAAAGACCCCAGUUAUUUAUAUCAAGGUCUGUACUGCAGCUCUCUUUAGAAGGUUUUCCAACUUGCUGAAUAAAUCCACUCCCUUUAGGAUUAAGACUGUUACACAGAAUGUAAAGAGUACAAAAUAUCUGAAUUAGUAUUAUGUCAAGAGGAUGCUUUGGGCUACAAGAAACAAAAAAGCCAACCCAAAAUACCUAAACAAUAAAGAGGAAAAGGAAUUAUGCCAUGUCACAAGUCCCAAGGCAGGCAGCUCUAGAGUCCCUUUAUAAUAACAGGCUUACUGGCAUCUUUCCAUUCUGCCAUCCUCAGUGUGGGGGGCUGUCCUUAGGUAACCUCUCACACAGUCAUAAAAUGACUGUAUAAUUCUAGGGAUUCCCAUGCAGAAUAACUAACAUUCAAUAGAAGCCAAAGAACAGGUUGAUUUUGUCUCUUGUAUUUAAGAAUGAGCAAACUUGACCCGUAAGUUCUCCAGCAAGCUCUCCUGAUAUCUCAUUGGAGUGCUAACUCAUAUAAACAGCUCUCUAAAACAGUCUCUGAACAAGUCAAUGAUCUUACCAUGAAUGACUUAAAACAGUAGUUUGGUUUGGCUUCAGUGUUGGGAAUUGAAUCCAUGGCCUCAUGCAUGCUAAGUAGGUGCUGUACUGCUAAGUUCCCCCCACCCCCUUAAAACCAGUGGUUUCAGGGCCUGGAAUUUAGCUCAGUGGCGCUGUGCCUGCCUCACAAGCACAAGGACCUGAGUUCGAUCCCAGGUACCAGGAAAAAACAACAAACCAGUGGUUUCAACCUUGACUGCACAUUAAAAUCACCUGGAGUGCCUGAGCUCCCUGAAUGAUUAUAAUGUGCACCCAAAAUGAGCUUACUGUAGGGUUUCUCACCCUCUGUACUCCUG
rnacentral:lncRNA from 1 species